AAAGAAGUCAAAUGGUUUUACUCCUCUUUCCCGAUUCCUCAAUUAAAUCAAGCUGUAUAAAUGAUCAAGAUAGACUAUUUUAGUAGUAUGACGGAGAAGAAAAGAAAACAUAUCCAACCCUUUAGAGGGAGCUCAUUGCACCAAGUCUAAGAUUUUACAUUCAUUACUGGUUGCUGGGAACAAUAAAAGAAAGUAUAUCCACCCUUUUUUAUGCGUUGAUACAACAAUAAA
rnacentral:lncRNA from 1 species